UACGGAGGGAGCUAGCGUUGUUCGGAAUUACUGGGCGUAAAGCGCGCGUAGGCGGCUUUGUAAGUUAGAGGUGAAAGCCCGGGGCUCAACCCCGGAACUGCCUUUAAAACUGCAUCGCUUGAAUCCGGGAGAGGUGAGUGGAAUUCCGAGUGUAGAGGUGAAAUUCGUAGAUAUUCGGAAGAACACCGGUGGCGAAGGCGGCCAACUGGACCACAACUGACGCUGAGGCGCGAAAGCGUGGGGAGCAAACAGG
rnacentral:rRNA from 1 species